AGAAAGUGGUUUUUUUUGCAAGGACCAAAUCCUGUAAUUACAGCAGGUUUGUUACUAACUCAUUUGCUGUCAUGCAAGCUCUUCCCUGCUCUUCCCUUUCCUGAAUUUCUGCUUUCCUUUUCCAUGACCAUGGAAAUACUGUCCAGGAAAGAAUUCCACCAAAAAUUAGUUUUUAUAUCUGAAAAUAAGAUCAGUUAAGGUACUAAAAGAAAACUUCUUUGGGCAUUGUCCAGCUUAUAAUACUGCCCUUUUAUAAUCAACCCACAAAGAUAAAUCAAGGAAUAAACUUAUCAAUAACCAAAAAGGUCCACAUCCAUGCCAAUAAAUUUAUAAAAAUUAAAAAAUACACUACAAAUCAGAUAUUGAAAGUGCA
rnacentral:lncRNA from 1 species